rnacentral:rRNA from 1 species
GACGAACGCUGGCGGCGUGCCUAAUACAUGCAAGUCGAACGCAGUGGGGACGGGUGAGUAACCCGUGGGUAACCUCCCAUCAGAGGGGAUAACACUUGGAAACAGGUGCUAAACCGAUACUGAUGGAUGGACCCGCGGUGCAUUAGCUAGUUGGUGGGGUAACGGCUCACCAAGGCCAAGAUGCAUAGCGGGCCGUCGGGGGUGUUGGGCCACACGGGGACUGAGACACGGCCAGACGCCUAUGGGAGGCAGCAGUAGGGAAUCUUCGGCAAUGGACGAAAGGCUGACCGAGCAACGCCGCGUGAGUGAAGAAGGUUUUCGGACCGUAAAACUCUGUUGUUAGAGAAGCGGUAUCUAACCAGAAAGCCACGGCUAACUACGUGCCAGCAGCCGCGGUAAUUC